GUGUCAUUAAGCCAUAAAAGUAGUAAUUAAGUGGACGUAUUAUUUGAGAAGAUCAGGUGUUCAUUAGUUCAAAAAGUCAUUACUUAAUAGGUGUGGGUUUACUUGAGGGUUGGAAAGUUCUUUUUGCUCAAAUCGAUAUUUUAAAGUUGUGCCAAGUACAGAAUUCAGGCCCUGCCCUACCCCGCCCUCCCUAGAAUUAUGUUACUGUGGCAACGCCAGCAUAACAAAAACACAGCUGAGAAAGGUUUCUCUGUGUGUGUGCGCUGCUAGACCCACAAAGAAGAAAAAAGAAUGAGCAGAGGGGGAAGGGGGGGAUUCUGACGACCUGCUGGGAUUAACAGCUACUGACACUCAAAAGAAGUCUAAUAUUAGGAUUCACAUUAAGAUGAAGGAUACUGCACACACUGUGUCUCUGGUCUAGAGCAGCAGAAGCGGAUUGGCUAAAGCAGCAGAAGCGGAUUGGCUAGAGUAGCAGAAGCAGAUUGGCUAGAGCAGCAGAAGCGGAUUGGCUAGAGCAGCCGAAGACCACGCCA